rnacentral:lncRNA from 1 species
UGGAAGUGACCCCAAGGAUCACCACGUUCCAAUCCCUUGCCACAGGCAGGGCUGCCAAACACUGGAUCCAGUGCUAGACUAGGCUGCUCAGGGCUCCAUCCAACCUGGUCCCUGGGACCACCAGAUCUUCUCCUCAUCUGCCCACAUUUUAGCUUCCCUGAAGCAGGAAUUCAAGAGAAACUUGUGGAAUCGUCAUUCAUUCAUCAUUUUGUUUCAGGAUGAACAAUUUCUUCAUUGAGUUAAGUCCUACUUGUACGCUGGAACCUGAAUAAAUUGGCAACCCCGAAUGCAUGAUGUGAGGAGAACAACACAAUGGGAGAACAUCUGCUGUCCCAACAGUGACCUGGAAGGAAAUUUGACACAGGGGAAACACAAGCCCUGCUCAUCCAAAAUCAGUCAUCUGAAAGACCAGCCUCCCCAGUGGACCGUGCCCUCCAUUGGUCUGACCUUGGCUGUUUGGGAAUCAUGGAUUUCCAGGAUGAGGCUCCAUAAUGUUUGGUUUGGAGGAGCACUGGAACUGUGCUUGAAGAGCAUGAAACUUACAAAGGCAAGAUCUUAAAAAAUGAGUUGAACUAGGGUUGGUGUCAACAUCCAUCUUCUGUGACCAAAGGAAGGAUGACAAAAUAACUUUAUACUAUUAAUAAAACAAUGAUCAUGAGAAGACCCA